AUGCCACAUCCAGAGGAUAUAGAAGUUUCCACUACAACCUACACCACAGCUGUGGCAGCACUGGAUCCUUUAACCCACUGUGCCCAUCAGGGAUUGAACCCACACCUCCCCAUUGACCAGAGCCGCUACAGUCAGAUUCUUAACUCACUGUACCACAGCGGGAACUCCAGCAGUGGCAUUUUUGAGAACUACAAGGGCCUGGGAAGUAAGAGACUCUCAAUCAGUGGUCUUAAAAGUAUACCUACUAUCAAGUGGGGAUCAGCAGAAACACUGGCAGUAUGGGUGCCCGCACACUUGACAUCUUUUCAAAGUUUGGGAGUGUGUUCAGAUAAGAGGAAUCAGUGUGGUGGUACAUCUGGAAAUCAACUCCUGGGAAGAAGGAAUGAUACAAAAAUAAAGUCAUUGGCCUGGAGAAGAGCAGACUGCUGGAAGCUACAGGAGCUAUUAACAAGGAACAAAGGCUUUCCCCCGUUGCUCUCUAAAGCAGAUGAGAAAGCACUAGAUGGAGGCACAGAGCAACAGAUUUCUGAUUUCAACUCAAUGUACAAAAUACUUUUUAAUCUCUAGAACUGUUCAACAAUAGAACAACCUACCUUAAUGAAAUAAAUGUUUCUCUAUGUAAAUACACAGAGAAAAGCUGAUUAUAGAAAGGAGUCUAGAAUUGGGGGCAGGGGGACGAGGGGAGUUGGAGGAGAGCUGUAUCUGGGUUCUAAGAUUUCUUUGACCCCAACAUUCCCUGUCUUUCUAACACAUGAAGCAUCAGUAGAAAAGACAAAAAUGGUCAAAGCUUUAAAGUUUCACAGGUAAAUAAUUAUUCAGUAUAAUCUUGAUUUGAUAUUGAUUAAUGCCAUGUCUUUAGAUGCAGUUGGAAUCUGAGAAGCCUACUGUUUGUUGAGUACUGUUAGGGAACUGUACAAACCUCAGAGAGGGAAACACGUUCUAUGAUUAUAGCUCCAGGAGCCAGAACAGAUCAGCAGGUAACCUGGGGCCUAAACUCAGGAGUUCCUGCUCUUGUUUGUAUAGUAUACCAGGAAAAUACCAUGGUAAAUUCAUCAGAUUAAACACAUAGCAUUCCAUUUUUAGUUAUUAAAAAUGAAUGGCUCAAAUUUGCCUCAUUUAUUAGACUUUGGUUUCUUUAGGAUAAUUAAAGAAAACAAAGCACACAAAGGAACCAACAUGCAAGAGAGCUCAGAGUUAUGAGAAAUGGGAGAGAGACAGAUCUGAGAACGAAUGUGAGCAGGGGCCAUAAUUGGGUCAGCAGGCCAAGGGUAAAGUUUUGGACUUUAUUCUCAGAUCAAGAUAACCUGGUUUAGGAGUUCCUGUUGUGGCUUAGUGGGUUACAGAAACGACUAGUAUCCAUGAGGACUCGGGUUCCAUUCUUGGCCUCGAUCAGUGGGUUAAGGAUCUGGCAUUGCCAUGAGCUGUGAUGUAGGUUGCAGACUCAGCUCUGAUUCAGUCCUAAAGGAACUUCUAUAAGCUGCAGGUCGCAGGUACAGCCCUGGAAAGCAUGCACAUGGGGAGAUGGGGGAUGGCGGGGUCGUGGGGGGGAAGAGUAGUAGAGAAGAUUACCUGAUUUUCAUUUCAAAAGAUCACUCUGGCUGUUGCAGGGAAAGUGCUUUCAAGGGAAAAAGUGGAAGCCAGAGACCAGGCAACAGUGAAUGUUAACCCCAGAGGGCCUGGCUAACAUGAAAGAAUUCAUUGCUAGUCAUUUGCACCCAGUGGGGAGUGGAUGGAACAGGAAGUGUCCUGCUGCCAACAGGGGAUGCUGCAGAAGGCAAUGAGGGGACACCUGGAGCCACAAACGGACACAGCUUCUACCCUCAAGAAGCUUGCUCUCUAGCAAGGGAUUCUGCGAUUGAGCAAAUAAUUUCAAGUAGAGACAACAGUCCACACACAGUGUGAUAGAGCAUAGAGCAGUGGCUUUGAGGUCAGAUGGCUCUGCAUUCAAAGCUCUGCUCUCUCAUUGUAGCUGUGUUACAUUCAUCAAGUUUCCCUCUCUCUGUGUGUCUGUCUGUCUCUCUCCACAGUCUGAUAUCUUCACCUAUUAAGGGUUAGUGAGAGGAUUAAAUGAGAUCCUUUUGGAAAAGCAUGUAACACUGGUAAAAAGGAGGUACUCAAUUCUAUUUGAUAAAUGCACAGAAAAACACAUCCCUUUUUCUCUGCCAUCUGUCUUCUUGUGCCCCUGCUGCCUUUCCAGGCAAUCAUUUUGGUUCUAACUUCCUGCCCCCCCCUUCAACUACUGAAUGUGGUACCAAUGGAGUCAACCCAGCUCACUAACUCUUUGCAUGUUGUUUGCCAGAAUCAGGAGAUGCCAAGUAAUGCAAAUUAAUUGUUUAUACUCCGUUUCCCAAAGUUGUCCUUUUUGAAAAUAAAUAAAAUAUUUUCCCCUCUAUCCCCCCUUUUACAACCAGGGAAUUGUAAAUAUACUAGAAACAGUACAUGGAGGAAUUAAUUUAUUUGAUUAAUGGAUACCCAAUUAUUAUGGUUAAGUUUAUUGUCUUAAACCACAGCUCCAUGGGGACAUUAAUAAAUGUGAUUGCUUUUGCUAGAAUAUUUGUUAAUCCUGUGGUUUAGUGUGCUGAUAAUGGAACAUGCUGUUCCCCUGACUUUUAAUGAGUGCACUCCACUGACAAGCAGAAAAGCAAAGAAACUAAUUUUAUAAAUGUAUACACAUUAAGAAGAAUAAGGUAGUUUUUAAAUCUCCUUAGUUCUCAGACCAUAUCACAGAGGUGUUCUUUUCCUUUUACUAUGCAUUUAUUUUCUAAAGACCUUUAUACAAUUUAAAAUAGAAAUCUGAGGACUAGUGCUCUUAAAUUCAGGAAAAAAAAAAAAGUGACUUAUUCCUAGCUACUGAGAUAUUAAACGCUUUUCUUUGGCUUGGAGGCCUUAAUUAAGAUGAUUUGUUUUGGCAGUUAUGGAGUUUUGCCUUCUUUGUAAGUAUACAAUUCGAAAUUGACAAAGUAACAUGAUGAUAAUAGAUACAGCACCUUGUUGAUUCAGGUCAUAACCACAGUUGUAAAGUGAAAUAAUGUUAUUUACGAAAUCACGGGAGAUUGUCACUCAAGGACAAUCGAUUGCAAAUGUGUCAAUUCAGGUGUUCUGUAUAGCAUAGGGAACUAUAUCCAGU
ensembl:lncRNA